rnacentral:rRNA from 1 species
GAUGAACGCUGGCGGCGUGCCUAAUACAUGCAAGUCGAGCGAACAGAUAAGGAGCUUGCUCCUUUGACGUUAGCGGCGGACGGGUGAGUAACACGUGGGUAACCUACCUAUAAGACUGGGAUAACUUCGGGAAACCGGAGCUAAUACCGGAUAACAUUUGGAACCGCAUGGUUCUAAAGUGAAAGAUGGUUUUGCUAUCACUUAUAGAUGGACCCGCGCCGUAUUAGCUAGUUGGUAAGGUAACGGCUUACCAAGGCAACGAUACGUAGCCGACCUGAGAGGGGAACGGCCCAACUGGAAAUUAGACACGGGCCCGGCUUCUACGGGAGGGAGGAGGUGGGAAUCUUGCCGAAUGGGGGGAAGCCUUAACGGGCCAAGCCGGGUGGGGGAAGGAGGGGUUUCGGUGUGAAAACCUUUUUUAUUGGGAAAAAAAAAAGGUUGAAGUAACCGUGCCGGUUUGAAGUGAACCAAAGAAGAAGCCCCGGGUAAAUUAGGG